rnacentral:rRNA from 1 species
UACGUAGGGUGCAGGCGUUAAUCGGAAUUACUGGGCGUAAAGCGUGCGCAGGCGGUUUCUUAAGUCAGAUGUGAAAGCCCCGGGCUUAACCUGGGAACUGCGUUUGAAACUGGGAGACUCGAGUGUGGCAGAGGGGGGUGGAAUUCCACGUGUAGCAGUGAAAUGCGUAGAUAUGUGGAGGAACACCGAUUGCGAAGGCAGCUGACGAAACUGUAACUGACACUGAGGCUCGAAAGUGCGGGGAUCAAACAGG